AAGUCAGUUCCUCGUGCUUCUAUGAGAAGGUCUGUUUCCUUGCUAGCUGUCAGCUAUGGGCUGUCUUAGCUAUUAAAGGCAACUCCCUGGUCCUUCUGUUGGCCCCCUAUGUCUCAGAACCAGCAUAGGUGCAUCAACUCUUUCUCAUGCUCAGAAUCUCUUGGACUUCCCCUUCUAUAACAUCUUUCCUGCCUUUUAUUCUACCACAUGUGACUCCAGCCUGAGAAAAUGAUCUGCCUUUAAGACUUACGUGAUUAGGUUGGGAUCACCCAGGAUUUUGAAAAAGCAAGCUGACAUAAAUCCUAUAAUCCCAAGGAAAUGAGUUUUACCAACAACCAGAGAAAGGUUGGAAGCAGAUUCUUUCUACGUAGAGCCUCCAGAUGAGAACCAGCUAAGUCAUGCCUGGACUUCUGACCCACAGAAACUGAGGGAUAAUAAGUGUUUUAAGCCACCAA